rnacentral:misc_RNA from 1 species
AGAGGAUCAGUAAAUUGAGGAAACUGGGCACUUAUACAUUCUGUGUGGCUUGAGCCCCAAUUUACUGCAAUUUCUCCACAGCCUGGUUCCUUUAAUUUUUAGUUUGUAUGCUUCACUAUAAUCUUCCCGGGAUUACAUCAUUUAAGUUUUUCAAUUUCUUGUUCUCAUUUGUGCAUGUUUUGUUUUUUAGUGUGGUUUUCUUUCAAGAAUUAUCAUGAAUUGAAUGCCUUAUGUUUACCACUUAUGAGCUCUGCCUGCAUAUUUAUAUAAUUGUUCAUGUGUUUAUUAUGUUUUUGGCUGAUAAUGUGCUCUCUGCUAUAUUUCUG